AUUGAACGCUGGCGGCAGGCCUAACACAUGCAAGUCGAACGGUAACAGGAAGAAGCUUGCUUCUUUGCUGACGAGUGGCGGACGGGUGAGUAAUGUCUGGGAAACUGCCUGAUGGAGGGGGAUAACUACUGGAAACGGUAGCUAAUACCGCAUAACGUCGCAAGACCAAAGAGGGGGACCUUCGGGCCUCUUGCCAUCGGAUGUGCCCAGAUGGGAUUAGCUAGUAGGUGGGGUAACGGCUCACCUAGGCGACGAUCCCUAGCUGGUCUGAGAGGAUGACCAGCCACACUGGAACUGAGACACGGUCCAGACUCCUACGGGAGGCAGCAAUGGGGAAUAUUGCACAAUGGGCGCAAGCCUGAUGCAGCCAUGCCGCGUGUAUGAAGAAGGCCUUCGGGUUGUAAAGUACUUUCAGCGGGGAGGAAGGGAGUAAAGUUAAUACCUUUGCUCAUUGACGUUACCCGCAGAAGAAGCACCGGCUAACUCCGUG
rnacentral:rRNA from 1 species